UACGGAGGAUGCAAGCGUUAUCCGGAAUGAUUGGGCGUAAAGCGUCCGCAGGUGGCUGUGUAAGUCUGCUGUUAAAGAGCAAGGCUCAACCUUGUAAAGGCAGUGGAAACUACACGGCUAGAGUGCGUUCGGGGCAGAGGGAAUUCCUGGUGUAGCGGUGAAAUGCGUAGAGAUCAGGAAGAACACCGGUGGCGAAAGCGCUCUGCUAGGCCGCAACUGACACUGAGGGACGAAAGCUAGGGGAGCGAAUGGG
rnacentral:rRNA from 1 species